GGAAUCUUGGACAAUGGGCGCAAGCCUGAUCCAGCCAUGCCGCGUGAGUGAUGACGGCCUUAGGGUUGUAAAGCUCUUUCACCGGUGAAGAUAAUGACGGUAACAGGAGAAGAAGCCCCGGCUAACUUCGUGCCAGCAGCCGCGGUAAUACGAAGGGGGCUAGCGUUGUUCGGAAUAACUGGGCGUAAAGCGCAUGUAGGCGGAUUGUUAAGUCAGGGGUGAAAUCCCACGGCUCACCCGUGGAACUGCCUUUGAUACUGGCAAUCUCGAGUCCGGAAGAGGUGAGUGGAAUUCCGAGUGUAGAGGUGAAAUUCGUAGAUAUUCGGAGGAACACCAGUGGCGAAGGCGGCUCACUGGCUCGAUACUGACGCUGAGGUGCGAAAGCGUGGGGAGCAAAC
rnacentral:rRNA from 1 species